rnacentral:misc_RNA from 1 species
CCGUUGGUGAACCAGCGGAGGGAUCAUUACAGAGUUUUCACAACUCCCAACCCUUUCGAACCGUACCCAUUCUUUUCUCGUUGCUUCCGGCCCGGGGGACCGGGGGGCCCGAACAGGCCUCCCCCCCCCGCCCGCCACGCGCGGCGGGCCCUCCGAACCCUUAUAUCUCCACCCCCAAAAACCGUCCGAAACAACAAACAAAAGAAUCAAAACUUUCAACAACGGAGCUCUUCGCUCUAGCAUCGAUGAAGAACCCAGCAGAUCCGAAUAACAAAC